UACGUAGGUGGCAAGCGUUAUCCGGAAUUAUUGGGCGUAAAGAGCUCGUAGGCGGUUUGUCGCGUCUGCCGUGAAAGUCCGGGGCUUAACCCCGGAUCUGCGGUGGGUACGGGCAGACUAGAGUGCAGUAGGGGAGACUGGCAUUCCUGGUGUAGCGGUGAAAUGCGCAGAUAUCAGGAGGAACACCGAUGGCGAAGGCAGGUCUCUGGGCUGUAACUGACGCUGAGGAGCGAAAGCAUGGGGAGCGAACAGG
rnacentral:rRNA from 1 species